UGUGUUACGAAUAAAAUGAGACCCCACUUUAUAUAAUUCUAACAAAUAUUUGUUGUCCAUUAAACCUGUCUGAUUAACAACAUGAUUUUGUGUAUAUUCUGUAUAAAGUUGUGAUUAGUCAGAGUAAGGUCAUUAUAUCUAUCAUUACCACCCAGUCUGUGGCCUCUAACUGACUGCCCUGACUGACGAGGUACGUAACUACCUCCAGGUGUCCUCCCCAAGCCGCCCACAUUAAUGGUGUCCUUCCACCCUGUAAUAUCAACAUAUAACAGACAUCAAAACUUGUGUCAUAAACUGGACAAUGUUGUGUAAUAAAUAUAAACAAAAUAUAUAUCACAUGAAUCAGUGGUCAAAACUGAAUAAAAUGACCAGUCACACUUGUAUUUAUAUUCUACAUAAACAACA
rnacentral:lncRNA from 1 species